UCAGGCCUAACACAUGCAAGUCGAACGAACCCUUCGGGGUUAGUGGCGCACGGGUGCGUAACGCGUGGGGAUCUGCCCUUUGCUUCGGAAUAACAGUUAGAAAUGACUGCUAAUACCGGAUGAUGUCGAAAGACCAAAGAUUUAUCGGCAAAGGAUGAACCCGCGUAGGAUUAGCUAGUUGGUGGGGUAAAGGCCUACCAAGGCGACGAUCCUUAGCUGGUCUGAGAGGAUGAUCAGCCACACUGGGACUGAGACACGGCCCAGACUCCUACGGGAGGCAGCAGUGGGGAAUAUUGGACAAUGGGCGAAAGCCUGAUCCAGCAAUGCCGCGGAGUAAUGGAGGCCUUAGGGUUGUAAAGCUCUUUACCAGGGAUGAUA
rnacentral:rRNA from 1 species